rnacentral:rRNA from 1 species
CUGAUGUGGGGGAUAACCAUUGGAAACGAUGGCUAAUACCGCAUGAUGCCUACGGGCCAAAGAGGGGGACCUUCGGGCCUCUCGCGUCAGGAUAUGCCUAGGUGGGAUUAGCUAGUUGGUGAGGUAAGGGCUCACCAAGGCGACGAUCCCUAGCUGGUCUGAGAGGAUGAUCAGCCACACUGGAACUGAGACACGGUCCAGACUCCUACGGGAGGCAGCAGUGGGGAAUAUUGCACAAUGGGCGCAAGCCUGAUGCAGCCAUGCCGCGUGUGUGAAGAAGGCCUUCGGGUUGUAAAGCACUUUCAGUCGUGAGGAAGGUGGUGUAGUUAAUAGCUGCAUUAUUUGACGUUAGCGACAGAAGAAGCACCGGCUAACUCCGUGCCAGCAGCCGCGGUAAUACGGAGGGUGCGAGCGUUAAUCGGAAUUACUGGGCGUAAAGCGCAUGCAGGUGGUUUGUUAAGUCAGAUGUGAAAGCCCGGGGCUCAACCUCGGAAUAGCAUUUGAAACUGGCAGACUAGAGUACUGUAGAGGGGGGUAGAAUUUCAGGUGUAGCGGUGAAAUGCGUAGAGAUCUGAAGGGAUACCGGUGGCGAAGGCGGCCCCCUGGACAGAUACUGACACUCAGAUGCGAAAGCGUGGGGAGCACACACGAUUAGAUACUCUGGUAGUCCACGCCGUAACGAUGUCUACUUGGAGGUUGUGGCCUUGAGCCGUGGCUUUCGAGCUAACGCGUUAAGUAGAC